AACGAACGCUGGCGGCGUGCCUAAUACAUGCAAGUCGAGCGAACUGAUUAGAUGCUUGCUUCUAAGACGUUAGCGGCGGACGGGUGAGUAACACGUGGGCAACCUGCCUGUAAGACUGGGAUAACUUCGGGAAACCGAAGCUAAUACCGGAUAGGAUCUUCUCCUUCAUGGGAGAUGAUUGAAAGAUGGUUUCGGCUAUCACUUACAGAUGGGCCCGCGGUGCAUUAGCUAGUUGGUGAGGUAACGGCUCACCAAGGCAACGAUGCAUAGCCGAACGGGGAGAGCGAUCGGCCGCACUGUGACUGAGACACGGCCCAGACUCCUGCGGGAGGCAGCAGUAGGGAAUCUUCCGCAAUGGCCGAAAGUCUGACGGAGCAACGCCGCGUGAGGGAUGAAGUCUUUCGGGUCGUAAAACUCUGUUGUUAGGGAAGAACAAGUACAAGAGUAACUGCUUGUACCUUGACGGUACCUAACCAGAAAGCCACGGCUAACUACGUGCCAGCAGCCGCCGUAAUAC
rnacentral:rRNA from 1 species